GUGUUCCCUUCAGCAGUACAUUACUAAAAUUGGAAUGAUACAGAGAGGAUUAGCAUGGCCCCUGAGCAAGGAUGACAUUCAAAUUCAUCAAGAAUUCCAUAAUUUU
rnacentral:snRNA from 1 species